rnacentral:rRNA from 1 species
UACGUAGGGUGCGAGCGUUGUUCGGAAUUACUGGGCGUAAAGAGCUCGUAGGUGGUUUGUCGCGUUGUCUGUGAAAACUCACAGCUCAAUUGUGGGCGUGCGGGCGAUACGGGCAGACUGGAGUACUGCAGGGGAGACUGGAAUUCCUGGUGUAGCGGUGAAAUGCGUAGAGAUCGGCAGGAACACCCAGGGGGAAACCAGUCGACUGGGCAUCUACUGACGCUGAGGUGCGAGAGCGUGGGGAGCGAACCGG